UUUUGUUGUGAACCCUAAACCCUCUUUGAUCAGUGGGUGCCUGCUACUCUGCUGCUGCCUACCCUGAAUUCGUGGAAGAUUCCCAAAAGAGAGGUUUGUGUUUGGAUGUCAUGGCAACAAUGGCGAUUCUCUUAGGACCAGGGAAAAGGAAGGCAAGAAGAAACGGAGGUAGAAGUGAAAUUUCAGAGUCAUCAAGUUCAUCAUUCCCUCAUGUUCAAUCUGUUUGUUUCCGCGGAAAGCGCGUAGGAAACAAUAUGAUCGAAUGGUUCCACUUCACAAUGGCAGGCAACAAGAAGAAGAAGGAGGCGGAGGAAGAGAGGAGAAGACGAUGCCGAAGAGGACAAGUUAAUCUUGUUUUUCACCAUAAUCAUCGCCACAAGGGAGAGGGAGAGCAUUCACGGAUUCUAUCUCCAAUCCAGACCCAGCCGCCAGACUCCUCCUCCGAUGCCUCCCCGGCUGCCCUGGGCUCCAUCAUCUACUGUAUUGGCGGUCGUCGUUUUCGAAACUGUGGCCAUGACGAUGAUCACACUCGCCAAGUCCAUUAUUUUGAUGCGAAUCGUCCCACGGAGGGCUGGAAGGAAGCUUCUCCCAUGAUUAAUCCCAGAUCAGAAGCUAAAGUUGUGGCUCUCCAUGGCAAGUUAUACGUCUUUGGCGGCGGCGGCUCAGAUUGUGGUGGUGAUUGGGCUGAGGUUUUUGAGCCAUGUGGGCCUGAUGACGAUGGGGGUGGUCAGGGGGGUCAAUGGACAGCUCUACCUUCACCCCCAUCUCUUCCUACUCAUGGUUAUGGUUGUUUAAUUUGCUGUAGCUCGUAGAGCUUCCAACAAGAUUGUGGUGGGAUUACAGAUUGUGCUGGGAUUACGGCAAUCUGUUGUUACUUAUGAGUAUGAUGUUGCACAUAAUUCCUGGUUAGAUUUCAAGUUAAAUCCUUCUCUGUUCACGUUAAGCCAACCAGUAGUAGCUGGCAAUAUGCUGUACUGGGUCGAUCAAGAGCUAAAUGCAUACAAUCUUGACAACAAAAUGCUCUACUCAGGACCCAUAGAAGAUCUGCAGAUUGAGCACCAUCUCAGGUGUGGUGAUUAUCUUUUUACAUCAUCCUUGCUUCAUCUAGCUGAAGAUCGUUUCUGUUUGCUUUGGGUUGACCCUGAUGGCUCACUAUCCCGCCUUCAUUACACCAUACUGCAAGUCUCUAAAGGCACCGAUAUAAACGGCAAAGGUUGUCUCAGUGCUUCUGUUUUGUCCUGCCACUCUUCUAUUCUUGAAUUUCCAUUGGACUUUCUUGACGGCCUGCUGAUGUAAUGCUUGACGAAGAGAGAUUAUUAUAAUUGGUUGAUUACCAUUUCAUCUAUGAUGGAAAAACUGGUAGAUUUCUUCGCCAGUGCUAUGUUCAGUUUGAGACUAGGGAAAUAGGAGUGCAGGAAAGAAAGGUAAAAUUGGUACAGUAAAGAAGAUGAAAACCAACUGCUGACUUUGUACCAGAUCAGGAAAAGAAGACAGAAUUCAACUAGUUUGCCCAACUGCUGACUUUUGUUUGAUACUGAGAUUUUUGUCAAGGAUUCUCUAGUUUUCAGAACUCCAUUUUAGGGUUGAAUUGUAGCUUGAUUAUGUGUAUAUAUUUUUUGUUGAAGUAUC